AGCCAGAUGAAAGAACACAAUGUUUUCAGCCUUCCAAUGACCAUGCAGCAGCGCUGCGGUAUGGGUACGGGCUCUCAUCAAGUGCCCUCUUGUGACAGUUUAGAUUUUAAUAGGAGUUGAUAAGACAGCACAAACAUACUGUAUCAAUAUAGCUCCUCAGAUCUAGGAUCAUAAUGAAUGGACAGGGUCAGCACUAUGAGAUACUGAAUGAACACAGAUCUCUCCUCUGCACCAUGUUAGUCUCACGGUGUCUACAUCUGACAACACAUGUAUCAUUCCAGAGCUGCCUAUGUAAUGAUGACUCGGUCUGUGUCUCACUCGCUCUCUCUCUCUCGCUCUCUCUCUCUCUCUCUCUCACUCACUCACUCACUCACUCACUCACUCACUCACUCACUCACUCACUCACUCACUCACUCACUCACUCACUCACUCACUCACACAGAGCGAGAUAUUCCAACUAAAUGUUUUUUUUUUUUCUCCACCUUUAUUUAACCAGAUAGGCUAGUUGAGAACAAGUUCUCAUUUACAACUGCGACCUGGCCAAGAUAAAGCAUAGCAAUUCGACACUAAACAGUGUCCAAAGAGGGGCCAGAAGUAUACAGAAUGGUGUCGUCUGCGUAGAGGUGGAUCAGAGAAUCACCAGCAGCAAGAGCAACAUCAUUGAUGUAUACAGAGAAGAGAGUCUGUAUACAGAGAAGAGAGUCGGCCCGAGAAUUUAACCCUGUGGCACCCCCAUAGAGACUGCCAGAGGUCCGGACAACAGGCCCUCCGAUUUGACACACUGAACCAGGCGAGGCAAUCAUUUGAGAAACCAAGGCUGUCGAGUCUGCCAAUAAGAAUGUGGUGAUUGACAGAGUUAAAAGCCUUGGCCAAGUCGAUGAAUACGGCUGCACAGUAAUGUCUCUUAUUGAUGGCGGUUAUGAUGUCGUUUAGGACCUUGAGCGUGGCUGAGGUGCACCUAUGACCAGCUCUGAAACCAGAUUGCAUAGCGGAGAAGGUACGGUGGGAUUCGAAAUGGUCGGUAAUCUGUUUGUUAACUUGGCUUUCGAAGACCUUAGAAAGACAGGGUAGGAUGGAUAUAGGUCUGUAGCAGUUUGGGUCUAGAGUGUCACUCCCUUUGAAGAGGGGGAUGACCGCGGCAGCUUUCCAAUCUUUAGGAAUCUCAGAUGAUACGAAAGAGAGGUUGAACAGGCUAGUAAUAGGGGUUGCAACAAUUUCGGCAGAUCAUUUUAGAAAGAGAGGGUCCAGAUUGUCUAGCCCGGCUGAUUUGUAUGGGUCCAGAUUUUGCAGCUCUUUCAGAACAUCAGCUAUCUGGAUUUGGGUGAAGGAGAAAUGGUGUCGGCUUUGGCGGUUGCUGUGGACGGUGCCGGGCAGUUAACCGGGGUAGGGGUAGCCAGGUGGAAAGCAUGGCCAGCCGUAGAGAAAUGCUUGUUGAAAUUCAAUAUCUCUGGUGACAGUGUUUCCUAGCCUCAGUGCAGUGGGCAGCUGGGAGGAGGUGCUCUUAUUCUCCAUGGACUUUACAGUGUCCCAGAACUUUUUUGAGUUAGUACUACAGGAUGUAAAUUUCUGUUUGAAAAAGAUAGCCUUAGCUUUUCUAACUGCCUGUGUAUAUUUGUUCCUAACUUCCCUGAAAAGUUGCAUGUCACGUGGGCUAUUCGAUGCUAAUGCAGAACGCCACAGGAUGUUUUUGUGCUGGUCACGGGCAGACAGGUCUGGAGUGAACCAAGGACUAUAUCUAUUCCUAGUUCUAGAUUUUUUGAAUGGGGCAUGCUUAUUUAAGAUGGUGAGGAAGGCACUUUUAAAGAAUAGCCAGGCAUCAUCUACUGACGGUAUGAGGUCAAUGUCAUUCCAGGAUACCCUGGCCAGGUCGAUUAGAAAGGCCUGCUCGCAGAAGUGUUUUAGGGAGCAUUUGACAGUGAUGAGGGGUGGUCGUUUGGUCGCAGACCCAUUACGGAUGCAGGCAAUGAGGCAGUGAUCGCUGAGAUCUUGAUUGAAAACAGCAGAGGUGUAUUUGGAGGGCGAGUUAGUUAGGAUGAUAUCUAUGAGGGUGCCCGUGUUUACGGAUUUGGGGUUGUACCUGGUAGGUUCAUUGAUAAUUUGUGUGAGAUUGAGGGCAUCAAGCUUAGAUUGUAGGACGGCUGGGUUGUUAAGCAUGUCCCAGUUUAGGUCACCUAGUAGCACGAGCUCAGAAGAUAGAUGGGGGCAAUCAACUAACAUAUGGUAUCGAGGGCACAGCUGGGGGCAGAGGGAGGUCUAUAGCAAGCGGCAACAGUGAGAGACUUGUUUCUGGAAAGGUGAAUUUUUAGAAGUAGAAGCUCGAAUUGUUUGGGUACAGACUUGUAUAGUAAUACAGAACUGCAGGCUAUCUUUGCAGUAGAUUGCAACACCGCCCCCUUUGGCAGUUCUAUCUUGGCGGAAAAUGUUAUAGUUAGUUUUCCUAAGUCAGGAUUCAGACACGGCGAAGACAUCCGGGUUGGCUGAGUGUGCUAAAGCAGUGAGUAAAACAAACUUAGGGGGUAGGCUUCUAAUGUUAACAUGCAUGAAACCAAGGCUUUUACGGUUACAGAAGUCAACAAAUGAGAGCACCUGUGGAGUGGGAGUGGAGCUAGGCACUGCAGGACCUGGAUUAACCUCCACAUCACCAGAGGAAUAGAGGAGAAGUAGGAUAAGGGUACGGCUAAAGGCUAUACGAACUGGCCGUCUAGCACAUUUGGAACAGAGAGUAAAAGGAGCAGGUUUCUGGGCACGAUAGCAUAGAUUCAAGGCAUAAUGUACAGACAAAGGUAAUGUAGGAUGUGAGUACAUUGGAGGUAAACCUAGGCAUUGAGUAAUGAUGAGAGAGAUAUAGUCUCUAGAGACGUUUAAACCAGGUGAUGUUAUCGCAUAUGUAGGAGGUGGAACAACAUGGUUGGUUAAGGCAUAUUGAGCAGGGCUAAAGGCUCUACAGUGAAAUAAGACAGUAAUCACUAACCAGGACAGUAAUGGACGAGGCAUAUUGCUAUUAGAGAGAGGCAUGCGUAGCCAAGUGAACAUAUGGGUCCAGUGAUUGGUUGGGCUGACUGGGGACACGGCGAUUCAGACAGUUAGCAGGUCGAUGCUAACAGUUAGUAGGCCGGGGUUAAACAAGCUAGCAAUUAGCAGACUGGGGCUGGCAAGCUAGCAGUUAGCAUACCGGGUUAGCAAGUUAGCCUUUGGGGGAAGUCGCGAUGGGGGUAAGUCUGUUUUUGCCUCUUCGUGCGGUGACGUCGAUAGACCAGUCGUGGAAUUAGUAGGGUUCCAAGUAGCUCUAGAUAGCUAGCAGGCCGGUUAGCAGAAUGGGCCUUCAGUGGACGUCGCGCCUGAGGGGCCUGUUGGAAUCAAAUGGUUGAUUAAACAUGGCUGACUGAGAUAUGGAGGAGGUAUGGAGGAGGAGGUACGGAGGAGAUAUGGAGGAGGAGGUACGGAGGAGAUAUGGAGGAGAUAUGGAGGAGGAGGUACUGAGGAGAUAUGGAGGAGAUAUGGAGGAGGAGGUACAGAUGAGGAGGAGGUAUGGAGGAGGUAUGGAGGAGAUACAGAGAAGAUAUGGAGGAGGAGGUACAGAGGAGGAGGUAUGGAGGAGAUAUGGAGGAGGAGGUACGGAGGAGAUAUGGAGGAGAUAUGGAGGAGAUAUGGAGGAGAUACGGAGGAGGUAUGGAAGAGGAGAGAUGGAGGAGGAGGUAUGGAAGAGGAGGAGGAGGUAUAGAGGAGGUAUGGAGGAGGAGAUACGGAGGAGAUAUGGAGGAGGAGGUAUGGAGGAGGAGGAGGUAUGGAGGAGGUACGAGGAGAAAUGGAGGAGGAGAGAUGGAGGAGGAGGAGGUAUAGAGGAGGAGGUACGGAGGAAAUACAAAGGAGUAGGAGGUAUGGAGGAGGUACAGAGGAGAAAUGGAGGCGGAGGUAUGGAGGAGGUACAGAGAAGAUAUGGAGGAGGAGAUAUGGAGGUACAGAGAAGGAGGAGGUAUGGAGGAGGUACAGAGGAGGAGGAGGUAUGGAGGAGGUACGGAGGAGGAGGAGGUAUGGAGGAGGUACAGAGGAGGAGGAGGUGUGGAGGAGGUACGGAGGAGAAAUGGAGGAGGAGGUAUGGAGGAGGUAUGGAGGAGGAGGUACGGAGGAGGUACAGAGGAGGAGGAGGUAUGGAGGAGGAGGUAUGGAGGAGGAGGUAUGGAGGAGGAGGAUGCAUGGAGGAGGUGCAGAGGAGGAGGAGGUAUAGAGGAGGUAUGGAGGAGAAAUGGAGGAGGAGGUACAGAGAAGAUAUGGAGGAGGAGAUAUGGAGGAGUAUGGAGGAGGUACAGAGAAGGAGGAGGUAUGGAGGAGGUACAGAUGAGGAGGAGGUAUGAAGGAGGUAUGGAGGAGGUAUGGAGGAGGUACAGAGAAGAUAUAGAGGAGGAGAUAUGGAGGAGGUAUGGAGGAGAUAUAGAGGAGAUAUAGAGGAGGAGAUAUGGAGGAGGUAUGGAGGAGAUAUAGAGGAGAUAUAGAGGAGGAGGUACGGGGGAGGUAGAGGAGGAGGAGGAAUGGAGGAGAAGAUAUGGAGGAGGAGGUAUGGAGGAGAUAUAGAGGAGGAGGUACGGAGGAGGAGGUACAGAGGAGGAGUUAUGGAGGAGGUAUGGAGGCGAUAUAGAGGAGGAGGUAUGGAGGAGAUAAAGAGGAGAUAUGGAGGAGGUAUGGAGGAGAUAAAGAGGAGAUAUGGAGGAGGUAAAGAGGAGAUAUGGAGGAGGUAAAGAGGAGAUAUGGAUGAGGUAAGGAGGAGGUAUGGAGGAGGAGGUAUGGAGGAGGAGGUAUGGAGGAGGUAAAGAGGAGGUAUGGAGGAGGAGGUAUGGAGGAGGUAAAGAGGAGGUAUGGAGGAGGAGGUAUGGAGGAGGAGGUAUGGAGGAGAUAAGGAGGAGAUAUGGAGGAGGUAAAGAGGAGAUAUGGAGGAGGUAUGGAGGAGGAGGUAGGGAGGAGGUAGGGAGGAGGAGACAUAGAGGUUUGGAGGAGGUUUGGAGGAGAUAUGGAGGAGGAGGUACGGAGGAGGUACAGAGGAGGAGAAAUGGACGAGGAGAAAUGAGGAGGAGGUAUGGAGGAGGUACGGAGGAGAAAUGGAGGAGGAGAUACGGAGGAGGUAUGGAGGAGGUACGGAGGAGAUAGGGAGGAGACAUAGAGGAGGUUUGGAGGAGGAGAUACGGAGGAGGAGGUACGGAGGAGGAAUGGAGGAGGUACGGAGGAGGAAGGUCAUGGCUGGUCAUGGCUCACAUCAACACCAUCAUGCCGGAAACCCUAGAUCCACUCCAAUUCGCAUACCACCCAAACAGAUCCACAGAUGAUGCAAUGUCUACUGCACUCCCCACUGCCCUUUCCCACCUGGACAAAAGGAACAUCUAUGUGAGAAUGCUGUUCAUUGACUACAGCUCAGCGUUCAACACCAUAGUGCCCUCCAAACUCAUCACUAAGCUAAGGACCCUGGGACUAAACACCUCCCUCUGCAACUGGAACCUGGACUUCCUGACGGGCCGCCCCCAGGUGGUGAGCUAGCUAGCAGAACAGGUACCACUCCUCCUCCUCCUCCUCCUCCAUAAACACAGAGGGGUGGUGAGGAGAGGACCAGCUAGCUAGCAGAACAGGUACCACUCCUCCUCCUCCUCCUCCAUAAACACAGAGGGGUGGUGAGGAGAGGACCAGCUAGCUAGCAGAACAGGUACCACUCCUCCUCCUCCUCCUCCUCCAUAAACACAGAGGGGUGGUGAGGAGAGGACCAGCUAGCUAGCAGAACAGGUACCACUCCUCCUCCUCCUCCUCCAUAAACACAGAGGGGUGGUGAGGAGAGGACCAGCUAGCUAGCAGAAC
rnacentral:lncRNA from 1 species